rnacentral:rRNA from 1 species
CCUACGGGUGGCUGCAGUGGGGAAUUUUGGACAAUGGGCGCAAGCCUGAUCCAGCCAUGCCGCGUGCGGGAAGAAGGCCUUCGGGUUGUAAACCGCUUUUGUCAGGGAAGAAAAGCUCCGACCUAAUACGACGGAGUCAUGACGGUACCUGAAGAAUAAGCACCGGCUAACUACGUGCCAGCAGCCGCGGUAAUACGUAGGGUGCAAGCGUUAAUCGGAAUUACUGGGCGUAAAGCGUGCGCAGGCGGCUUUGCAAGACAGGUGUGAAAUCCCCG